AAUAUGUUUAAUCCGGCAGGUGCCCCGCCGGUUUUGACCGGGGGGAGAAUAGGGAACCGGGUGUAAUUCCCGGGCGGUCCCGCCACUGUAAAGGGAAGCAUAUCCACAUGAUGUCACUGGCCGCUGGCCGGGAAGGCGUGGAUCUGCGAUGAACCCGAGCCAGGAGACCUGCCUGCCGGCAAUUUCCCUG
rnacentral:ncRNA from 2 species